UGGGUGACCUGCCCUCAGCUCUGGGAUAAGCCUGGGAAACUGGGUCUAAUACUGGAUAUGACUGCGCAUCGCAUGGUGUGUGGUGGAAAGUCCUGGGCUUAAUUGUCUGGGUUCGGCUGGGGAUGGGCCCGCGGCCUAUCAGCUUGUUGGUGGGGUGAUGGCCUACCAAGGCGACGACGGGUAGCCGGCCUGAGAGGGCGUCCGGCCACACUGGGA
rnacentral:rRNA from 1 species